rnacentral:ncRNA from 2 species
AGUCUUCCCUGACGUUAAGGUGCUCUCGAAAGAGAGAGAAUAGGGAAUACGGAAGGGAAGCUUUUUCCUCAGCCGUAGCUGUACCCGCAACUGUAAACGCCAGGUCUCGCCAAAAUACCACGUGGAUUUCUCUACGGAAGGUGGUGAAGACUGAAAGCGUAAGCCAGGAGACCUGCCUUAGCAGCCACCUUGUU